AGACUUGGCAGAGACUUACUAACUAAAAUCGGGGCUCAGAUAUCUUUCAAGCCGGAUGGCUCCCAGGUUACAGAUGGGCAAGGGCGGCUAAUACAAGUUCUGACUGUUCAGUUAGAAGAUGAAUACGCCCUCCACCAAACACCGCACAGGGCCCCGGCUGACAUGAGCAAUUGGCUCCACUCUUACCCGUUGGCAUGGGUGGAGACAGGAGGGAUAGGAUUAGCCCUUCACCAGCCUCCUGUCUUAGUGGAACUUAAGCCGGGAGCAGAACCCAUAGAAGUGAAGCAGUACCCCAUGGCCAUAGAGGUGAAGAGGAGCAUAAUCCCACACAUUAGACACCUCCUUCAGGCGUGUUUUGAUCCCCUGCCAGUCUGCUUGGAAUACCCCCCUGUUGCCUGUUAAGAAACCCCUUACAAAUGACUAUCGCCCAGUACAAAAUUUACGAGACGUAAAUAAGCAGGUAAUGGACAUCCAUCCCACGGUACCUAACCCGUAUAUACUUCUCAAUGCUCUGUCACUGACUCAAAAGUGGUACACAGUACUAGAUCUAAAAGAUGCCUCUUUCAGUCUGUCUCUAGACCCACAAAGCCAGGCUGUUUUUGCUUUUAAGUGGAGUGGCACAGAAGAAGGCAUCAGUGGACAAUUGACCUGGACCUGCCUACUGCAAGGCUUCAAGAAUUCCCCACUAUCUUGGAUGAGUCUACAUGCAGACUUAGGUGAGUUCCGUAAAUCUCACCCCAGCUUGACCCUUCUCUAGUACGUAGAUGAUAUAUUAAUAGCAGCUGCCACAGAGCACGAUUGCCUGCAAGGAACACGAGAUCUUGCCACCCUGGGAGACAUGGGAUACCACACAUCAGCAAAGAAAGCCCAAAUUUGUCAGCAAACUGUGACUUAUUUAGGGUAUGUGCUCAAAGAUGGCUAAGUGAAGCCAGAAAGUGCACUGUGCUUGGAAUUCCUGUUCCCACUACUCCCAGGCAAGUAUGGGAAUUUCUGGGGAUGGUUGGAUUCUGUAGACUGUGGGUGCUGGGGUUUGCAGAAAUGGCUAAACCCCUCUAUGAGGCCACCAAGGAAGGACAGGCCUUUCAAUGAACAGAAGAAAGAGAUCAGGCAAUUAAAAAUCUUAAGACUGCCUUGCUAACCUCCCCUGUGCUAAGUCCUCCUGAUAUCACCAAACUUUUCCAUCUGUAUGUGGAUGAGCAUAAAGGGGUGGCAAAGGGGGUACUAACCCAGAUUCUGGGACCCUGGACCCGCCCAGUAGCUUACUUGUCUAAAAGACUCGAUCCAGUUGCCUCGGGGUGGCCCUCUUGUCUACGUAUUAUAGCAGCUACUGCCCUCCUAGUGAAAGAUGCUGAUAAACUCACCUUGGGGCAGGAACUGUUAAUAACAACCCCUCACACCAUUGAGGGAGUUUUGAAGCAGCCCCCAGAUCGGUGGAUGAGCAAUGCACAGCUGACUCAUUACCAAGGUCUUCUUCGGAGUCCAAUGAGGAUUCAGUUCUUGCCCAGUACAGCUUUGAAUCCUGCCACUCUUCUGCCCAACCCGGAUGCAGAGGUACCGCUGCAUCACUGCCAAGAUAUACUGGUGCAAGUCCACAGCCUCUGCCAAGAUUUGACCGAUCAGCCGCUGCCAGAUGCCGAGGAAACCUGGUUCACGGAUGGCAACAGCUUCAUGAAAGACGGACAAAGGUAUGCAGGGGCGGCAGUGGUUUCGGAGACUGAAACGUUAUGGGCUAAGUCCCUUCCAAGCGGAACUUCUGCCCAAGGAGCAGAACUUAUAGCCCUUACUAAGGCCUUGAUACUGGGAGAAGAAAAGAAGGUCAACAUCUAUACAGAUAACCGUUAUGCAUUUGCCAAGGCCCACAUCUAUGGAGCCAUUUACCAAGAGAGGGGAUUACUGACAGCAGAGGGGAAAAUGAUAAAGAAUAAACAAAAAAUACUAGACCUCCUAGUGGGUGCAAGGGCGGCCUGGGCUUCGGCCUCCCUCCGGUUCCCUGGAAGUGGGCCGGCGGUCAGCACAGGAGUAGCAGCUGAGGCGGAGGCUCUAGCACGUCUCUCUCCUCCCCUUCAGCCUGAGCCAGGGGAGGCCAGGCAGCCCGGGUGGCUGGAGGGGGGAUCCACUGUCCAAGAAUGGGAAUUCUCUUCACCAGGAUAUGGAGACUGUUCAAUCACCAGGAGCACAAAGUUAUCAUUGUUGGGUUGGAUAAUGCAGGGGAAACUACUAUACUUUACCAAUUUUCUAUGAAUGAAGUUGUACAUACAUCCCCUACAAUAGGAAGUAAUGUGGAAGAGAUAGUGAUUAAUAAUACACGUUUCCUAAUGUGUGAUAUUGGUGGCCAAGAAUCUCUUUGUUCUUCCUGGAACACUUACUAUACUAACACAGAGUUUGUAAUAGUUGUUGUGGACAGUACAGACAGAGAGAGGAUUUCUGUAACUAGAGAAGAACUCUAUAAAAUGUUAACACGUUAGGACCUAAGGAAAGCUCGAUUGCUGAUUUUUGCUAAUAAGAUGUUAAAGAAUGCAUGACUGUAGCAGAAAUCUCCCAGUUUUUGAAGCUAACUUCUAUCAAAGAUCACCAGUGGCAUAUCCAGGCAUGCUGUGCACUUACUGGUGAAGGAUUGUGCCAAGGACUUGAAUGGAUGAUGUCAUGACUUAAGAUUAGAUGAUCUCUCCUGACCUGACCUCUUCUCAUAGAUUUUGCAUAAAUGAAGUGCUGGACUUUGCCUGAAAGUUGCAAAAAUUAUUGGUUUAGAUAUAUUUAUAAUAAACUGAUUUAAACUUUUUCUAUAUGAAGACAAAUUAAGACCUCUUAUUUGAAAACAAAGAUGAAAUCUCACCUUCCAAUUUGCUUUUCCAUUAGUUCCUUCCAAAGUAAGUUAUUAAAGCUGUGAUUGACAUUUUUCCUGUAAUGAAUUCUCUCAGGAAAUUGUGUAGUUUGUGGUAAGUAUAAAGGGAGAGGAAGAUGUUUUGAACUUUAAGAGCUUUAUUAUCAGUAUAACCCUCCCUAGUUGAAUGUUCUUUCCUUGUUCCAUUAAGUCAAAAUACAAGUCAGCACAGAUAUUCAGUUUCUAAUAUUUUAAAAUGUAAUGUUACUUAUGAAAAGUAUUUUGUAUCAGGUUGUGUAUGUAUUGUGUAUAUACCUCACUUUCAAGUUAAUGGCUUUGAUUUACGUUCUAAAGAAAAGCAAAUAAUACAAAAAUUAUCAAUAUCCUUAGUUAUAACCAUAAUAAGUACUGGCAUUGGUGUUAAGUGCCAUUUUGUACUCUUCUUUAUGUUCUCUGUAUGUAUUGACCAAUCCCCAAAAUCAUUGAGCUGCUCUUUAAAAAAAAAAAAAAAGGAAAAGGAAAAAGC